rnacentral:rRNA from 1 species
GGUAAUAUUUUGAACCGCAUGGUUCAAAAGUGAAAGACGGUCUUGCUGUCACUUAUAGAUGGAUCCGCGCUGCAUUAGCUAGUUGGUAAGGUAACGGCUUACCAAGGCAACGAUGCAUAGCCGACCGAGAGGGUGAUCGGCCACACUGGAACUGAGACACGGUCCAGACUCCUACGGGAGGCAGCAGUAGGGAAUCUUCCGCAAUGGGCGAAAGCCUGACGGAGCAACGCCGCGUGAGUGAUGAAGGUCUUCGGAUCGUAAAACUCUGUUAUUAGGGAAGAACAUAUGUGUAAGUAACUGUGCACAUCUUGACGGUACCUAAUCAGAAAGCCACGCUAACUACGUGCCAGCAGCCGCGGUAAUACGUAGGUGGCAAGCGUUAUCCGAAUUAUUGGGCGUAAAGCGCGCGUAGGCGGUUUUUUAAGUCUGAUGUGAAAGCCCACGGCUCAACCGUGGAGGUCAUUGGAAACUGGAAAACUUGAGUGCAGAAGAGGAAAGUGGAAUUCCAUGUGUAGCGGUGAAAUGCGCAGAGAUAUGGAGGAACACCAGUGGCGAAGGCGACUUUCUGGUCUGUAACUACGCUGAUGUGCGAAAGCGUGGGGAUCAAACAGGAUUAGAUACCCUGGUAGUCCACGCCGUAAACGAUGAGUGCUAAGUGUUAGGGGGUUUCCGCCCCUUAGUGCUGCAGCUAACGCAUUAAGCACUCCGCCUGGGGAGUACGACCGCAAGGUUAAACUCAAAGGAAUUGACGGGGACCCGCACAAGCGGUGGAGCAUGUGGUUUAAUUCGAAGCAACGCGAAGAACCUUACCAAAUCUUGACAUCCUUGACAACUCUAGAGAUAGAGCCUUCCCCUUCGGGGGACAAAGUGACAGGUGGUGCAUGGUUGUCGUCAGCUCGUGUCGUGAGAUGUUGGGUUAAGUCCCGCAACGAGCGCAACCCUUAAGCUUAGUUGCCAUCAUAAGUUGGGCACUCUAGUUGACUGCC